AUGCGAAAUUCGUAAUAUUUGUUGUGUUUCUAUAUUUUCUCUCAACUCUCUCCUAAUUCUCCACACUAUCUCUUACAGUGUUUGCUUUCAGAAA
ensembl:ncRNA W06F12.5 ncRNA